UGGGGAGUCUGAGCUCUGGUCGGUCCAUGGCUUGAAAAACUACGCAAACACCCUGGUGUCGGCGGGCGCACUUGGCUUUUGACAUCGUCUCCAACCAUGUGGUUCGCGCGCCCAGGACUAAUGAAAACUCUGACUCUAGAUCUCAAAUGAGGUAAGACUACCCGCUGGAUUUAAGCAUAUAAUUAAGCGGAGGAAAAGAAACUAACUAGGAUUCCCUCAGUAACGGCGAGUGAAGCGGGAAGAGCUCAAACCGAAAAUCUCUUGCUUCGGCAGGCGAAUUGUGGUCUAUGGAGGUGUGUCUCAGCGUGCGGUCCCGGCCUAAGUCCAUUGGAACAUGGCAUCAGAGAGGGUGAGAAUCCCGUCUUUGGCUGGGUGUCCGCCGCGUUCGAGCCGUCCUCUAAGAGUCGGGUUGCUUGGGAGUGCAGCCCUAAGUGGGAGGUAAAUUUCUUCCAAAGCUAAAUAUUUGUGGGAGACCGAUAGCGAACAAGUACCGUGAGGGAAAGAUGAAAAGAACUUUGAAAAGAGAGUUAAAUAGUACUUGAAACUGCUGAGAACGAAGGGAUGGCGACUAGUAUUGGCUGGGGGGAUUUUUCCUUGGUGUCGAACAAGGCCGGCGGGCUGGGAUUGCUUCGGCUUCCUGCUCGUUGGUCGACAAGCGUCGCCUUGGGUCCUGUCCUCGUUGGCUCAGGUCAGAAUGGGUUCGGU
rnacentral:rRNA from 1 species